AUGAGGACAAUAAAUUCUGUAUUAUUUUGGAUGGAACUAAACAUGAUCCUAAAAUUUUGGUAUUUUGCAUUUUAUCACUCCAAAAUAGUUGGCAUUUUGCAUUUUAGAUUCUAUGGGGAACUAAACACCGCCUGAGUUUGUGUCCUAGGCCAAGGUCUUGUUGCUGGUUUAGAUUGUGUUCUUUUCUAGUUUAUGUUAAUCGUCGUCAUCCCGUUUAAAACCCUAAUUCGAGCAGUUUUCUUAAAACUGUUAUAACUUUUAUGUUCGAAUUCGAAAUGGGUAAAUUUUAUAUCUAUGGAGAACGCUAAAAAAUUUUAGAUCUAUUUUAUCCCAGCAAAGCUGGGUUCAUAAAAAUUAGAUUUGCGAAAUUCAAUCAGGAAAAUUGAGUUUCUAGGCCCACAAGUUUUGGUAUGCUUUUCGCAGCACAAUUCUAAUUUUCUAUAAGCCACAUCUUUUAUCCAAUCAAGCUAAAUUUUUUUGCGGUUUGUCCUUGAGUGCUUCUUGUCGAGGAAAAAAUAUCAAAAGGGUAAAAGCAAAAAAAAAGUUUGGACAAAAAAAGAAAAGAAAAAAAUAGUAAAAAAAGAGAAGAGAUCGAAAAAAGAGCACACACAGAACUAAAUAGCUCUAUUGUUUGUGGUGCCUUUUGUCUUGUCCUAUUUCCGUUGCUAUCUUCAUAUUUGUUUCUAGUUAUACUUGUUUCACUCCCUUGUUUAUCAUACCUGGUGCUAGAAACACAUAUAGGCCAGCAACUAGGACAAGUGCUCUGGAUAUUUAUUCAAUAUUGCUAUCUGUUACUGACUUGCGUGCCACAUAUACAUAAUUAUUCUUUUGUUUGCCUCCUAAACUCCACAUAUACUUCAGAUCAGUACAGAAAAAGAUCAUUGCAAUCUUGGGCUACGCCUUUCAGGUAUCCUUUGUCUUGAUAGUAAGAACCUUGUAAGCACUUGAAAGGUGUUUCUUGUAACACCCUAGGUGUU
rnacentral:lncRNA from 1 species